CCUACGGGUGGCAGCAGUGAGGAAUAUUGGUCAAUGGGCGGGAGCCUGAACCAGCCAAGUCGCGUGAGGGAAGACGGUCCUAUGGAUUGUAAACUUCUUUUAUAUGGGAAUAAAAUGUUCCACGUGUGGGAUUUUGUAUGUACCAUAUGAAUAAGGAUCGGCUAACUCCGUGCCAGCAGCCGCGGUAAUACGGAGGAUCCGAGCGUUAUCCGGAUUUAUUGGGUUUAAAGGGAGCGUAGGUGGAUUGUUAAGUCAGUUGUGAAAGUUUGCGGCUCAACCGUAAAAUUGCAGUUGAAACUGGCAGUCUUGAGUACAGUAGAGGUGGGCGGAAUUCGUGGUGUAGCGGUGAAAUGCUUAGAUAUCACGAAGAACUCCGAUUGCGAAGGCAGCUCACUGGACUGCAACUGACACUGAGGCUCGAAAGUGUGGGUAUCAAACAGGAUUAGAUACCCUUGUAGUC
rnacentral:rRNA from 1 species